GAGGAGACGAGAAGCAAAACAGCGUUAUCAGCCAUAGAAUAGAUAGGGCGGGGAGAAGUGAACAAGUGGUGUCGUGACGUAAAAUUAACCCUUCCUGCUACACGAGGUUUAAUGGCUCCUUUUAAUUAGUGGUUUUAUUCAAAAUAAGGGAAAUUCACAAAGUAUUUUAAUAUACAUACAACUUGUGCAAAUCUAAUCUCAGCCGAAUUUUAUGUAUUUCAGAAAUUAACAACAAUGAACAACACACUUUUAAAAUAUGCAAAAAUGGUACCUCUGCGCUGUGUGCGUCAGUACUUCCUGUCUUCAUAACUGUCAGUGUGAGCUGCCGAGGCGCCACAAAUCAGAUGAUGGAGUGUCUGUGGCGACGCCUCCACAUCCUGCUGCAGGUCUCCUUCUGGGUCUGUUUCGUCACAGGUUCAAAUGUAGAAUGGAGACGGGUUGGGGAAAAGAUAGUAAUAACUUGCUCCACUGAUAAACCAACUCAAAGUGCAGUGUAUCUUUACAAGAGCUACCACCAAAGGCAGUCGGUGUUCUAUCUCCUUAAAGAGGGGGUUCCGAGUCGCACGGUAGCCUACAAGGACAAGGUUAAAGUUACAGGCUUCAACAAGCUGAGAGCCACAAUUAGCAACCUAACCGUAAAUGACACUGGAGUUUUCUGGUGCCAGUACUUGAGACAUGAUGGACCAACAAACCAUGAAACUGAAAACAAAGAGGGUGAAACAUUGUUGGUGGUCAAUGGCCCGGAGAAGGUGUGCCCCACACAUGGGCCAUACGCAACCACCAGCACAGAGGAGUCCAGUCAGACGGCCACCUUGUGGAUCGUGGGUGCUGUCACUUUCUGCUCACUGGUUCUGCUGGUGCUCAUUAUCCUGCUCAUCUUGGUGAAGAGGUGCAAUGGAAAGAACAGGUGUCAUCCCCAGUCUGCCGUUGGACCCCCAGCACAUUGCCCUGAUUCUGUUUAUGAGCAGAUGAGGCCCCAGAGGGCCACCUCUAUGUCUCACUCCUCUGCCCAGGUACUCAACAACUCUGCCUACUUGCUUCACCCAAAUAACCCACAUCCUACCACCCCCCUUCAGUAAGAAUCAACACUGGCACGCCAGCUUCAUAUUUUCAUUUGACAAGUGCACUGAAAUUCAUUAGCCUGUGUGUACAAACUUGCUUGCUUGAAAAAUUAAACCGGUUUGAAUUUAUUUAAUUUAUGUUUUGAAUGAUGUUUAAAUCCAAUGUGUGAAGCAUUUUGACGUAUCAUUCACUCGUGUAACACAAACAUUUUGGUCAUUGAGAUCGAAUGCAGCAUCAGAUUGUGAAAUGUUCGUUUAAGACCGUAGUGAUCCAUGGAGCAAAGGGUCAUGUAGUUAUUAACCUUUCAUAGGAAUGAAUAUACUCAGCCAAUUCUCCUUUGGCUGUCUUUCCAGAAACUGCUUUCUUUUUAUACAGGGUAGAUCAAACAAAACUAACAUACAGUACUUCAUCUGUGUGUACCUGUAACAUAUAUGAGGUAGUUGUAAGAGGUUUGCCACUUUAUAAUACAAAAGUGAUUUUAAUAUGCACAAAAUGUAAUAUGAUCAGAUGUAUAUAACUGUUAUGCACCAA
rnacentral:lncRNA from 1 species